rnacentral:rRNA from 1 species
UGGGGAAUUUUGGACAAUGGGCGAAAGCCUGAUCCAGCAAUGCCGCGUGUGUGAAGAAGGCCUUCGGGUUGUAAAGCACUUUUGUCCGGAAAGAAAUCCUUGGCUCUAAUACAGUCGGGGGAUGACGGUACCGGAAGAAUAAGCACCGGCUAACUACGUGCCAGCAGCCGCGGUAAUACGUAGGGUGCAAGCGUUAAUCGGAAUUACUGGGCGUAAAGCGUGCGCAGGCGGUUUGCUAAGACCGAUGUGAAAUCCCCGGGCUCAAACCUGGGGAAACUGCAUUGGGUGACUGGCAGGCUAGAGUAUGGCAGAGGGGGGUAGAAUUCCACGUGUAGCAGUGAAAAUGCGUAGAGAUGUGGAGGAAUACCGAUGGCGAAAGGCAGCCCCCCUGGGGCCAAAUACUGACGCUCAUGCACGAAAAGCGUGGGGAGCAAAACAGGAUUAGAUACCCUGGUAGUCCACGCCCUAAAACGAUGUCAACUAGUUGUUGGGGAUUCAUUUCCUUAGUAACGUAGCUAACGCGUGAAGUUGACCGCCUGGGGAGUACGGUCGCAAGAUUAAAACUCAAAGGAAUUGACGGGGUCAUAGCUGUUUCCU